GUCCAGGCUAGCCUAGUCGACAUGGCAUCUUCCCGGUAAGCUGAACACUGUGGGUUCGAUUCCCAUCCUUGGACA